rnacentral:RNase_P_RNA from 1 species
GGAAAGUCCGGGCUUCACAGGGCAGGAUGCCGGAUAACGUCCGGCGGAGGCGACUCCAGGGAUAGUGCAACAGAAAUAAACCGCCCGUCUUGAUGGCGGGUAAGGGUGGAAAGGCAGUGUAAGAGACUACCGCCCGGCCGGUGACGUCCGGGGCUCUGUAAACCCCAUCCGAAGCAAGGCAGAGCAAAGCAAUGCGGCGGCCCGUCGUGCUUUGCGGUAGCCGCGAUGAGCCUGGCCGGCAACGGCAGGCCAAGAUAGAUGACUGUUCAUGACAGAACCCGGCUUAUCGUCUUGCUU